AUGCAGUGUUUUGAUUUUGUUGGCAAAGGCGUUAGUGAUCUGCUUCAGGCCGAAAUCUCAGUUGGUGAUAGAAGACCGGAAGUUGAUGUUAUAUCUAUAGAAACAAGAAACAGGGUCAAGCUAUCGAAACUGAGAACAAAAUCCAACCGCGUAAUGGUUUUGAUUGCAUCAUCACAAAGCUGACCUAUCAUGAGGACCAUCAUUGAAGGUGGUCCUCUUUUAAAAAUGUUUAAGCGCUACCACGAUAGGGUGGACUUUGUGUUCAUCUAUCUGCUGGAGGCACAUCCUAAAGAUGGCUGGAGCUUUGGUGACAAAUUCUCUGCCGUCAAACAACAUCAGACGUUAGAAGAUAGGAUAGAGGCAGCAAGAAUGUUGGUUGAUUUAAAUACAGAACUCUUAUCAACCGAUCACAAAGCCAAAAACAAAGUCCGUGUACUUGUUGACAACAUGGAAAAUAGUUUUGCGAUGAGUUACGCCGCCUGGCCUGAUAGAAUAAUCAUCGCUGAAGGCGAAACCGUGUCCUUUGUCAGUGAUCACGUGACCCAAGUGAUGCAAAAUCCACAGAAUAUUAUGACAAUAGCAGCUAAUGCAUGGUUGGAGCAGUAUUUCAGUAAAAACGAGUUGUAAAAUGUCUAAGCAGAAAUGUUAUAAUUUAUAAAUAAUUCUUGGAUGUAUGUGUUUCUUGUUUUGAAUAUCUCAAAAAAAAAAUAUUAAUUGCUGAAAAAGUCUUGAAAUAGAAGUUUGACUGUAUUAGUGUAAAUUCUGUCUAAGGUAAAACUUUUAAUGAGUACCUUCUUCAAAUGUAGUUGUUUUAUUUGCUUUAAUUUCGCCAACAAAAUUUGUUCUUGAUUGUCUCUGUGUCUUGUAUACCAAUAUGUAUACCGGUAUAUCAAAUGUUUAUAAAAGUAUUUGUAAUACUCUAUCAUUUGAUUGGCUGUCACAAACCAUGUCUUUGGCCAAUCAGAACAAAGAAAAUGUUUGUCAGAAUAUGGUUUAAUCCACUCGCAACAUCAAAAUACAUUCAGAACUUUUUUUUUAUUUUUUAAUAAUUCUUUUUUUUAGAAAACUUAACCAAUCUUUAACAAUGUUCUUUAUUUCUAAAAAAAAUUUCUGUCGAAGUAUGUGUUCUAUAAGGGCCAGUCUUGAUAAGUCUAAUCUUAUAGCUAACUCGCAGAUUAAAAAUCAACAGAGAUUAAAAAGCAGAUUAAGAUAGAAGCCUAUUGGUCGAUAUUUGAUAUGGGUCCCAUACUAUGGGUCAAAUGCAUUGUUUAUUUACACAAGAUAAAAUGAAAUGCAUUCAUUCAUGAUUUCCAUCACCCUUUAAAAUUUCUACAAAAGAACAAGUGUUGGCUGUUAUGUUCAUUUGUAGAAAUUUCCUUCUGAACAGAAAGUACUGUUUGAAAAUUGAAAACUGAACUGAAAUUUGGAAAUGUGUGAAAUUUAUUGUUAUCAUUCAAACCCAUACUGAGCAAUGAGGCAUUAUAUUAUGCAAGGAAAAUUCUCUUGAAAAUAAAUACAUCUCAUUGGAAACUUGCUUGUCGUCAGCGGUUUCAAAUUUUACAUGUUUUGUAUGUCACUAUGAGACCAAUAUCGAAGAAGACUUUUAAAAGACAGUUUGCUGAAAAAUGUAUAAUAAUAUAAGAAUUGAUAUCAAUGAGAAUAUAUGAAGUUAUUAAAGAAAAAAAGAAAAAACUUGUUCUAGAAACCAGAGUAAAAACAAGGAGAAAUUGAAAAUAAUGCCACUUUCUCAAAAAAAAUACCCAUGUUACCCCAUAUUAUGUUUGUAUGCAGGUAGUAUGAUAUUAUUCAAUCUAUAAAGAAUUUAGAUUUCCAUUUAAA